rnacentral:tRNA from 1 species
AAAAGCGUAGUUCAGUUGGAAGAACACUUACCCCAAAGUUCGAGGUCACCGGUUCGACUCCGGUCGCUUUUACCA